CCUUCCUGGCAAUGGUCAACCAGACACCAUGUUGGUGGUGGUCUUAGAUCAGUCAGGACGGAGCAGAUGGCAGUCCUUUGUUCAUCCUAACUUGAUGCCUGGCUUGGUGGCCAAAGCUGUUUUAUGCCUAGGACUCACAA